AACGAACGCUGGCGGCAUGCCUAACACAUGCAAGUCGAACGAGACCUCCGGGUCUAGUGGCGCACGGGUGCGUAACGCGUGGGAACCUGCCCUUAGGUUCGGAAUAACUCUCCGAAAGGGGUGCUAAUACCGGAUAAUGUCUUCGGACCAAAGAUUUAUCGCCUUUGGUUGGGCCCUCGUUGGAUUAGCUAGUUGGUAGGGUAAAAGCCUACCAAGGCGACGAUCCAUAGAUGGUCUGAGAGGAUGAUCAGCCACACUGGGACUGAGACACGGCCCAGACUCCUACGGGAGGCAGGAGUGGGGAAUAUUGGAAAAUGGGCGAAAGCCUGAUCCAGCAAUGACGGGUGAGUGAUGAAGGCCUUAGGGUUGUAAAGCUCUUUUACCCGGGAUGAUAAUGACAGUACCGGGAGAAUAAGCUCCGGCUAACUCCGUG
rnacentral:rRNA from 1 species